AGAGCGAACGUUAGCGGCGGGCCUAACACAUGCAAGUCGAGCGAGAAAGUGGCUUCGGCCAUUAGUAAAGCGGCGGACGGGUGAGUAACACGUAGGUAAUCUUCCUUCGAGCGGGGGACAACGUUCCGAAAGGGACGCUAAUACCGCAUACGUUUCUCGGGACUCCGGUCCUGGGAAGGAAAGCUAGGUAGCAAUAUCCGGCACUCGAUGAGGAGCCUGCGUAGCAUCAGCUAGUUGGUGGGGUAAUGGCCUACCAAGGCUAAGACGCUUAGCUGGUCUGAGAGGAUGAUCAGCCACACUGGGACUGAGACACGGCCCAGACUCCUACGGGAGGCAGCAGUGGGGAAUAUUGGACAAUGGGCGAAAGCCUGAUCCAGCCACGCCGCGUGAGUGAUGAAGGCCUUCGGGUUGUAAACUCUUUCGACGGGACGAUAAUGACGGUACCGUAGAAGAAGCUCCGGCUAACUUCGUGCCAGCAGCCGCGGU
rnacentral:rRNA from 1 species